GAGGGUAUAGCUCAAGCGGUAGAGCGCAUGCUUAGCAUGGAGAAGGUCCUGGGUUCAAUCCCUAGUAUCCUCU
rnacentral:tRNA from 1 species